rnacentral:rRNA from 1 species
GAUGAACGCUGGCGGCGUGCUUAACACAUGCAAGUCGAACGAAGCAUUUGCGACAGAUUUCUCCGGAAUGAGGUUGCUGAUGAAUGAGUGGCGGACGGGUGAGUAACGCGUGUGUAACUUGCCCUAUACUGGGGGAUAGCAGCCGGAAACGGCUUGUAACACCGCAUAAGAGCACAGUGUUGCAUGACAUGGUGUGAAAAUCACCGGUGGAAUAGGGUGGACCCGCGUCUCUUUAUCUAGUUGGUGAGAUAAAAGCCCACCAAGGCGACGAUCAGUAGCCGACCUGUGAGGGUGACCCGCCACUCUGGGAGUGAGAUACGGCCCAGACUCCUGCGGGAAGCAGCAGUGGGGAAUCUUGCACAAUGGAGGAAAUUCUGAUGCAGCUACGCCGCGUGAGUGAUGAAGUCAUUAGUUAUGUAAAGCUCUUUCACCAGGGAAGAUACUGACGGUACCUAGAGAAGAAGCUCCGGCUAACUACGUG